AGCUUUGCGCAGUGGCGAUAUCGUAACCAAUGAGGUACAUCCGAGGUGCGAUUAUUGCUAGUUGAAACUAUCAAGAAAAGGUCGAGUUAUAAGCGUUCGGAAUCCUUCAUUAUUUCAUACGUUCAGUGUUUAAAUUUUCAUUUUA